GUCUACGGCCAUACCACCCUGAACGCGCCUGAUCGCGACUGAUCUCAGAAGCUAAGCAGGGUCGGGCUUGGUUAGUACUUGGAUGGCAAACCGCCUGGAAAUACCGGGUGCUGUAGGCU
ensembl:rRNA 5S_rRNA 5S ribosomal RNA